UCGAAUCCUGCAAAARAGCAGAACGACCCGUGAACCGGUGAUGCAAAACAUGCCGUGGGAGCCUAGGCUCCCCUGGCACCGGGAUUUGCGCGGGCGGGCGCAUCGGUCGUCUCGCCGCGCGCGCUCCUGGGCUUACAACGUACCCCGGCGCGGAAGGCGCCAAGGGAACAUAAUCAAAGAUUAGCACGUGCCAUCCUGCGUCCCCGCUUGCGGGGAUGCGGGGCGGACCGUGCCGUCUUAAACAUAACAACAACGACUCUCGGCAACGGAUAUCUCGGCUCUCGCAUCGAUGAAGAACGUAGCGAAAUGCGAUACUUGGUGUGAAUUGCAGAAUCCCGCGAAUCAUCGAGUCUUUGAACGCAAGUUGCGCCCAAAGCCAUCAGGCUGAGGGCACGCCUGCCUGGGUGUCACGCAUCAUGCCGCCCCAAACACCCACUGCCAGCAUAAUCCCUGGCAGUCGGUAGGGCGCGGGAAUUUGGCCUCCCGUGGCAUACCCCGCUGCGGCUGGCCUAAAAAUGAAGCAUUGGGGAGCGACGUACUCCGCGGGCACGCGGUGGUGGUAAAUAUCGCCCCCCUCGGGCAUCCAGUCCGGAGCGUCUCUCCCCGGUGCUUUGGUGGGCCCUUACUACACCAGCUAMCASC
rnacentral:rRNA from 1 species